rnacentral:rRNA from 1 species
AUUCUGGCUCAGGACGAACGCUGGCGGCGUGCUUAACACAUGCAAGUCGAACGGUAAGGCCCUUUCGGGGGUACACGAGUGGCGAACGGGUGAGUAACACGUGGGUAAUCUGCCCUGCACUUCGGGAUAAGCCUGGGAAACUGGGUCUAAUACCGGAUAUGAACUCCUGCCGCAUGGUGGGGGUUGGAAAGUUUUUCGGUGCAGGAUGAGCCCGCGGCCUAUCAGCUUGUUGGUGGGGUAAUGGCCUACCAAGGCGACGACGGGUAGCCGGCCUGAGAGGGUGAUCGGCCACACUGGGACUGAGACACGGCCCAGACUCCUACGGGAGGCAGCAGUGGGGAAUAUUGCACAAUGGGCGAAAGCCUGAUGCAGCGACGCCGCGUGGGGGAUGACGGUCUUCGGAUUGUAAACCCCUUUCAGUAGGGACGAAGCGCAAGUGACGGUACCUGCAGAAGAAGCACCGGCUAACUACGUGCCAGCAGCCGCGGUAAUACGUAGGGUGCGAGCGUUGUCCGGAAUUACUGGGCGUAAAGAGCUCGUAGGCGGUUUGUCACGUCGUCUGUGAAAUCCCUCGGCUUAACCGGGGGCGUGCAGGCGAUACGGGCAGACUUGAGUACUACAGGGGAGACUGGAAUUCCUGGUGUAGCGGUGAAAUGCGCAGAUAUCAGGAGGAACACCGGUGGCGAAGGCGGGUCUCUGGGUAGUAACUGACGCUGAGGAGCGAAAGCAUGGGUAGCGAACAGGAUUAGAUACCCUGGUAGUCCAUGCCGUAAACGGUGGGCGCUAGGUGUGGGGUCCUUCCACGGACUCCGUGCCGUAGCUAACGCAUUAA